CAUGUUAUUACUCCAACCUCGUGAAAGUGACAAACUGACACGUUUUUAGUUAUUGCACAUGCGCAGCUUGGCGCGAGACAACCGUUACACCCGAUUACGUGUUUUUGCGCAUGAGCAGUUGCCGGGGUCACGUGCUAGUUGGAACUAGGAAACUCCGAUAUUUCCAACAUUCGUUGAACGCGGCACGUGUAUAACUACAACCAGUUAGGAGGUUGGACAUUUCCGAGUUUCGACAAGCACUUGGACGCGGCACCAGCUAGCCAACGUCGCCAUGACAUCGCCUACAAGCGUGAUCAGUACCCGACCUCUGUGCGGGACACUUCAGGUGCAUGUUUGGUUAGUGAGAGGGCAACCUGAAUAACCCAGAGAAAGAAUAUGAGACCUGGGAGGAAAUGUGUUUCCUUCCUGAAAGUCAGAAAGCAGUACUUCUCCUCUUUUCCAACCCCAGUCUGACGCACAUGCGUCCUCCAGGGAAGUGGGGAAGUGGGGAGGUGGGGAGGGCAAACAGAAAAAGAUUGGGUAAUUCAUUUUUUUUUUUAAAUGUUGUGGUUUCUUCGGUUGGAAAACUAUUUGGUGAUGGUUCCUUAUUCACUUUUCACGGAUCUACACACUUCACAGUUUUCACAUCUUUGCCUUUUCCACACAGGUUUCAAUAACUUUAUCCAUGGCAUAGACACACAUGUACAGAGCACAUGAUUCGGAGUUCUUCUGUUGAAGUCUAUCAUAAUGUCAUGCUGAUCUGGCACUGGUGUAUAAGAAGAAUAAAGAGCAAACAUCUUAGCUCUCAUGUUCUCCUUCAUGUAUUUAGCCUAUCCCUGCACAUGAAUUAAGUUUAUGGUCGUGAGAAACAAUAGCACACUGCGCCUUUAAAUAAAGGAAUGUGAACAAUCCACUGCUGUGCCCAGGCAUUGGGGCUGGAAUUGGUUGGAAUGUUGGCAGAAGUUUCAUCUCCCCACAGCUCUUUCCCAGGCCAGGUGUUGGAAAUGCAGGAAAACUAUCUGAAAAGAGGGAAUAGAGCAGUGUGGGUGAACGUGGGAGUGCAGGGUUAGUGAGAGAUACACAGAGGUCCAAUUAGAACCCAAGCUCUCUAGACAUGAAGUUAUCCAGCCUAUAUAGUUCUACUGAAAAGACAUAAAAUGGGAGGGAAAAACCUGACUGAGAUUUACUGCUCCUCCUUAUCGGCCGUCUCUUCGUCUGCUCUCUAAACAGAGAUUUAUGGCUUUGGCAAUAUCAGGUAUUUGAUAAGUGUUCAUCACGAAAUGCACGCAUACAAGCACCUGGCCUAACUGGGUGCUGGGCCACUGACUGUAGUGAUGCCUGUAGAACAUCGUUCCGGGAGUAGCUAGUCUAUACUUUAUUAUUGUGUAGUUUAGCCCUGUAUGGUGACUCAGUGAUAGGUCAAUGUAGUUUGAACCACUGAAGUUAAUCUUUAUGUUAUGUAACAAAGAUGAGAUGACCCUCAAUGUUAUUGAAAUAGAUCUCGCUCUAUGCAACAGCCACAACAUACCAACCUCCUAUUACAAAGCGUGAUCCACAGCAUCAAACCAAGGGCAUUAGCACUGGGUAAUACCCUGGAUUCAACUAAUUGAUGUAAACAAGUCUAUCACUCCCAUAGCAUCUGGACAUUAAAAACUAGGUGGGCCUCAUUUCACUCACCUAGUUUUGCAUUCAGAAAGACAAUUUUGGUUGGCAUUGCUAAGAGUAAGAGUUUGUGUAAUCCUCUCACUCAUUCUCUCUCUCCCUCACACACACACACACAAACACUCCCAUGCAGAGGCAGCACACGGCCAGUGUAGGGUGAGUCACAGUGACCUGGCAGAGAGUGCCUCCCCUUGGGAGAGUCCUUACAUGCAUCCCUGUGAUUAUGGCCAAAUCCCCUGAGGGCAUCAGGUGGGCCUUCUCUCUGAGCAACGUGAGACCGCCACCCAUUGUUAGGUCCACAAUGCUGAGCUUACUUGAAAGGUGAUUUCGCAAGAUGAAAAGGGUUUAGCAGUGUAUAUCAAUUGAUAGCUGUUUUUGGCCCAGUUCUCCUCCUUUUAUAGUGUUGUGUUCCAGUUGUAGUCUAAUAUGACACCAGUAUCGUAAGUUUAAAAACAUUUUCAUUUUGAAGCAUAUACUAUCAGGCAUAGCAAUCCUAUAUGAAUCAUCGCUGCAUGCAGAAACAUCUUUGUUCUGGUGCUGACGAGAUCUGCCUGCUGUCCCCUCACCAGAGCCCCAUGCAGGGGCAGACUGGCCAUCUGGCAUUUCGGCAAAUGGGCCACAAGAAAAAAAAUGGUCCGAUGUGUUAGAAAUAACAGGGCCAAUUUCUAGUCCCAAUCUGCCCCUGGCCCCAUGGGCACAGGAUGGUUGACCUCCCUCCUCUGGGAAAAAGCAUCUUAGCUUCACACAACACAUGGAGAUUAUAUUAUACAACCACUGUGUCAUGUAUAAUGUAUUUAACAAUCUAAAAGCUACAUUAUGACAAGACUGUUACAUUUAACUGGCCCUUCUGCAUUUUCCCCAUGUUGAAUUUAGGCCCAGUUGCUUAAUAAGAAUGUAUCAGUUUAUUGAACACAACACUAUAAAGGAGGAGAACGGGGCCAAAAACGGCUAUCAAUUGAUAUACACUGCUAAACCCUUUUCAUCUUGUGAAAUGUUUGUAUCACCAGUAAUUGUUUGGUUUGUUUAUAUUACUUGAAUAUCUGUAGUGAAGAACAGAGUGAACAAAACAUUAGGAACACCUGCACUUUUCAUGAUAUAGACUGAUAGGGUGAAUGCAGAUGAAAGCUAUGAUCCCUUAUUGAUGUCACCUGUUAAAUCCACUUCAAUCAUUGU